GAUGAACGCUGGUGGCGUGCCUAAUACAUGCAAGUCGAGCGAACGGACGAGAAGCUUGCUUUUCUGAUGUUAGCGGCGGACGGGUGAGUAACACGUGGAUAACCUACCUAUAAGACUGGGAUAACUUCGGGAAACCGGAGCUAAUACCGGAUAAUAUUUUGAACCGCAUGGUUCAAAAGUGAAAGACGGUCUUGCUGUCACUUAUAGAUGGAUCCGCGCUGCAUUAGCUAGUUGGUAAGGUAACGGCUUACCAAGGCAACGAUGCAUAGCCGACCUGAGAGGGUGAUCGGCCACACUGGAACUGAGACACGGUCCAGACUCCUACGGGAGGCAGCAGUAGGGAAUCUUCCGCAAUGGGCGAAAGCCUGACGGAGCAACGCCGCGUGAGUGAUGAAGGUCUUCGGAUCGUAAAACUCUGUUAUUAGGGAAGAACAUAUGUGUAAGUAACUGUGCACAUCUUGACGGUACCUAAUCAGAAAGCCACGGCUAACUACGUG
rnacentral:rRNA from 1 species